AGGUGACCUUGGACGCCACGGAACGGGUCCUGUGUAUGACAGGCUUACUAAGAGGUUGAAAAGAACUGCCCGUAAACCCACACAGAAUUACACCGAAGACAAUAAAACACAAGGGAUAAUGGAGAAAAGCCAGUGGGACCUCAAAAAGAUCCGUUUUCAACGGAGACGGCUUACCAGACUGGACGAUGUUGUAUAUACCUACAAGAUCACACUGAAUGCCCUUCUAAGGGAAUACAGUGACUCCAUGAAGAGGAAGAAGAAGACACCGUGUGGAUUUGGAGCGGUGGAAACAAAGACAUCAGAAGAGGCGAGUUUAUG